rnacentral:rRNA from 1 species
UUGGAAGGUAAAAAACGUAUCAAGGUUUCCGUAGGUGAACCUGCGGAAGGAUCAUUACCUAGAGUUGCGGGCUCUGCCUGCCAUCUCUUACCCAUGUCUUUUGAGUACCUUACGUUUCCUCGGCGGGUCCGCCCGCCGACUGGACAAACUUAAACCACUUGCAGUUGAAAUCAGCGUCUGAAAAAACUUAAUAGUUACAACUUUCAACAACGGAUCUCUUGGUUCUGGCAUCGAUGAAGAACGCAGCGAAAUGCGAUAAGUAGUGUGAAUUGCAGAAUUCAGUGAAUCAUCGAAUCUUUGAACGCACAUUGCGCCCCUUGGUAUUCCAUGGGGCAUGCCUGUUCGAGCGUCAUUUGUACCUUCAAGCCUUGCUUGGUGUUGGGUGUUUGUCUCGCCUCUGCGCGCAGACUCGCCUCAAAACAAUUGGCAGCCGGCGUAUUGAUUUCGGAGCGCAGUACAUCUCGCGCUUUGCACUCACCACGGCGGCGUCCAAAAGUACAUUUUUUACACUCUGACCUCGGAUCAGGUAGGAACCCCAUUUCG